AUACGGAGGGUGCGAACGUUAAUCGGAAUUACUGGGCGUAAAGCGCGCGUAGGCGGUUCGGUAAGUGGGAUGUGAAAGCCCCGGGCUCAACCUGGGAACUGCAUUCCAAACUGCAGGACUAGAGUAUGAUAGAGGGAGGUAGAAUUUCCUGUGUAGCGGUGAAAUGCGUAGAUAUAGGAUGGAAUACCGAUGGCGAAGGCAGCCUCCUGGACCAAUACUGAUGCUGAGGUGCGAAAGCGUGGGGAGCAAACAGAAUUAGAAACCCCAGUAGUCC
rnacentral:rRNA from 1 species